rnacentral:rRNA from 1 species
UACGAAGGGGGCUAGCGUUGCUCGGAAUCACUGGGCGUAAAGGGUGCGUAGGCGGGUUUUUAAGUCAGGGGUGAAAUCCUGGAGCUCAACUCCAGAACUGCCUUUGAUACUGAAGAUCUUGAGUCCGGGAGAGGUGAGUGGAACUGCGAGUGUAGAGGUGAAAUUCGUAGAUAUUCGCAAGAACACCAGUGGCGAAGGCGGCAUCCUGGUCUGCGACUGACGCUGUGGCGCGAAAGCUAGGGGAGCGAACGGG